UAGGGAAUCUUCGGCAAUGGACGAAAGUCUGACCGAGCAACGCCGCGUGAGUGAAGAAGGUUUUCGGAUCGUAAAACUCUGUUGUUAGAGAAGAACAAGGACGUUAGUAACUGAACGUCCCCUGACGGUAUCUAACCAGAAAGCCACGGCUAACUACGUGCCAGCAGCCGCGGUAAUACGUAGGUGGCAAGCGUUGUCCGGAUUUCUUGGGCGUAAAGCGAGCGCAGGCGGUUUCUUAAGUCUGAUGUGAAAGCCCCCGGCUCAACCGGGGAGGGUCAUUGGAAACUGGGAGACUUGAGUGCAGAAGAGGAGAGUGGAAUUCCAUGUGUAGCGGUGAAAUGCGUAGAUAUAUGGAGGAACACCAGUGGCGAAGGCGGCUCUCUGGUCUGUAACUGACGCUGAGGCUCGAAAGCGUGGGGAGCAAACAGG
rnacentral:rRNA from 1 species